AGUGGGAUAGCUGGGCCAAAUGGUGAUUCCAUUCCAAGUUUUCUAAGAAAUCUCCAUACUACUUUCCAGAGUGGCUGCAACAAUUUGCAGUCCUACCAGCAAU
rnacentral:pre_miRNA from 1 species